AUUGAACGCUGGCGGCAGGCCUAACACAUGCAAGUCGAGCGGAGCGGCGGACGCGUGAGUAAUGCCUAGGCAUCUGCCUGGUCGCUGUGGAUGACGUCCGGAUACGGGCGCUUAUACCGCAUCCUAUCAGAUGAGCCUAGGUCGGAUUAGCUAGUUGGUGGGGUAAAGGCCUACCAAGGCGACGAUCCGUAACUGGUCUGAGAGGAUGAUCAGUCACACUGGAACUGAGACACGGUCCAGACUCCUACGGGAGGCAGCAGUGGGGAAUAUUGGACAAUGGGCGAAAGCCUGAUCCAGCCAGGCCGCGUGUGUGAAGAAGGUCUUCGGAUUGUAAAGCACUUUAAGUUGGGAGGCGUUACCAACAGAAUAAGCACCGGCUAACUUCGUGCCAGCAGCCGCGGUAAUUC
rnacentral:rRNA from 1 species